rnacentral:rRNA from 1 species
ACGAACGCUGGCGGCGUGCUUAACACAUGCAAGUCGAACGGAAAGGCCCUGCUUUUGUGGGGUGCUCGCGUGGCGAACGGGUGAGUAACACGUGAGUAACCUGCCCUUGACUUUGGGAUAACUUCAGGAAGCUGGGGCUAAUACCGGAUAGGAGCUCCUGCUGCAUGGUGGGGGUUGGAAAGUUUCGGCGGUUGGGGAUGGACUCGCGGCUUAUCAGCUUGUUGGUGGGGUAGUGGCUUACCAAGGCUUUGACGGGUAGCCGGCCUGAGAGGGUGACCGGCCACAUUGGGACUGAGAUACGGCCCAGACUCCUACGGGAGGCAGCAGUGGGGAAUAUUGCACAAUGGGCGGAAGCCUGAUGCAGCAACGCCGCGUGCGGGAUGACGGCCUUCGGGUUGUAAACCGCUUUCGCCUGUGACGAAGCGUGAGUGACGGUAAUGGGUAAAGAAGCACCGGCUAACUACGUG